rnacentral:lncRNA from 1 species
GUGCCAGUUGGCCUCCAGCCAGGAAGUGGAGCUUGCCAAAGAGCACCAGCUAUGUUGGUAACAGUGGAAUUUGUGCCUGCCUUAUUUUACCCAAGGUUGCUGCUAGAGGAAGCGAAUAUGCAAAGAAGGAAGAUUUUUAAAGUAUCCUCUCAUUCAUUAAUUCCAGUUUCUUAGAAGAGUAUAAAAGAAGACAAGUGGAAAUUUACUGGCAAAAAUAAAGUGUACUAAACUUCAUUGACCUCAUGGGAAGCAACGGUGCUUUUCCAAUCUUCCACUUUCAAGAUUCUAAGAAAUCAUGUCCAAUUUAAUUACAGGAAAGAGAUAAAAAAAAACCAUUAAGAUUGGGAGUUUCAUUGAAGGGGAGGUUCAUUAAAAAAUCCAGAUUAAUGUGAAAAUAAUUCACCAAUUCAAUUACCUGGGAAAACGAAGAUGGGAGCUUCUAGUGUUAUUGAUGACAAUAAUGGAAAGGAGAAAGGGAACAAAGAGUUCAAUUGAGUGUAUGUGAAGAGACAAUGCUGUGCUUAAAUGAAAGCAAAGGUCAGAGGCCA